rnacentral:ncRNA from 1 species
ACAAUGAUACUUCCGUCCGUGAAGAGCGGGCGGCCCGGCGCGAACCGCGGGGAGGCUGGAACCCUAUG